rnacentral:sRNA from 1 species
AGCUGUCAGGGAAAAAUUUAGAAGAAGGAAAACGGGGGCGAAAAAACAGCAGAGUUUUGGAGCGGGAAAACUGAAAUCGAGGCGGAAAAAGACCCACAUCAUGCGGCUGCUGUUCCCCUACGCUUUCUCCCCUUUUCCCGCUCUACCGCUUUACCGCUUUUCCCCUCUGCCCGCCCGCACUUUUCUCAACCCGAAUGUACAUUCUUGUUGCGGCUUGACAAGUAAA